GGAUGUGACUUAGUGGUAGAGUGCUUGCCUAGCAAGCAUGAGGCUCUGGGCUUAAUCCCCAGAACCA
rnacentral:tRNA from 1 species